CAGCCGCCGCGGUAAAACGAGGGGGGCAAGCGUUGUUCGGAUUUAUUGGGCGUAAAGGGUGCGUAGGCGGUUUGGCAGUCUUGUGUGAAAUCUUCGGGCUCAACCCGAAGCCUGCACGAGAAACUACCGGGCUUGAGUAUUGGAGAGGUGAGUGGAAUUUCCGGUGUAGCGGUGAAAUGCGUAGAUAUCGGAAGGAACACCUGUGGCGAAAGCGGCUCACUGGACAAUAACUGACGCUGAUGCACGAAAGCUAGGGGAGCAAACAGGAUUAGAGACCCCAGUAGUCCCUGUCUCUUAUACA
rnacentral:rRNA from 1 species